rnacentral:rRNA from 1 species
CUCCCACCCACUGCUAUCACUACUCUCGUUGCUUUGGCGGGCCGCUGGGCCCUGCCCGGCCGCCGGCCCCGGCUGGCGCGUGCCCGCCAGAGACCUCACAGACUCUGAAUGUUAGUGUCGUCCGAGUAACUAUACAAUCGUUAAAACUUUCAACAACGGAUCUCUUGGUUCUGGCAUCGAUGAAGAACGCAGCGAAAUGCGAUAAGUAAUGCGAAUUGCAGAAUUCAGUGAGUCAUCGAAUCUUUGAACGCACAUUGCGCCCUGUGGUAUUCCGCAGGGCAUGCCUGUUCGAGCGUCAUUUCAACCCUCAAGCCUCGCUUGGUGUUGGGCCCUGCCCGCCGCGGCCGGCCCUAAAGAUAGUGGCGGCGCCGCCUGGCCCUCAGCGUAGUACAGCUCUCGCUCCAGGGUCCGGCGGCAGCCUGCCAGAACCCCCCAACUCUGUGGU